GGAAGGAUCAUUGUCGUUUCCUUAGAGGACAGACCCGUGAACACGUUAUCAUUGAUUUCUUCAAGUCGAGUGGACCAUCGUGCCCCAUGGGGCAUGGUGAUUCGUUCUGCUUAUUGGACUGUUCCCGUCUUUUGCCAUCCCCUUCAUUGUGGUCGAUGGCUUGAGCGGCGUACAACCAAAACAACAAAACCGGCGCUGUUAAGCGUCAAGGAUCAUUUUAUGAAUAAAGGGGGGACUUCCUACCACAAAAUGAGUGGAAGGAAAAGACCCUUUUUUGCCUAAUAUCAAAAACGACUCUCGGCAACGGAUAUCUUGGCUCCCGUCACGAUGAAGAACGUAGCGAAAUGCGAUAGUUGGUGUGAAUUGCAGAAUCCCGUGAAUCAUCGAGUUUUUGAACGCAAGUUGCGCCCGAGGCCAUUCGGCCAAGGGCACGUCUGCCUGGGCGUCACGCCUAGCGUCGCCCUCCCCUUUCCUGAGUUUUCGAACAUAGGCAAAGGGAGAGCGGAGGACUGGCUUUCGGCGUUGCUUUUGUCGGCGUUGUUGGCUGAAAAAUUUGGCUUGCGAUCUUUUGUCAUGUACAACAAGCGGUGGAUUUCCAGUGAUUUGUUGUGCCUUGCGUGAUCGAAAGUCAAUGGGACUCGAGGCAAGCAUCUUACUUUCUUGCCUUAGCUUUGCGACCCCAGGUCAG
rnacentral:sRNA from 1 species